GAUAGGCUAAUUAAGGGCGUAUGGGGAAUGCCUAGGCUCUCAGAGGCGAUGAAGGACGUGAUAAGCUGCGAAAAGUUACGGGGAAUGGCACACACAUUUUGAUCCGUAAAUAUCCGAAUAGGGAAACCUGGCUAUUUGAAGAAUAGUCAUCCAUACUUGUAUGGAAGCAAACUCGGAGAACUGAAACAUCUAAGUACCCGGAGGAAGAGAAAACAAUAGUGAUUCCGCUAGUAGUGGCGAGCGAACGCGGAAUAGCCCAAACCUAA
rnacentral:rRNA from 1 species